ensembl:lncRNA
UAGAGAGGCAGAUAAAGGCCGCGCUUGUUGCAGCCUUCCCUGACAGGGCCGACCCCCACGCCAGUGAGCUCAUGCCUGCCUCAUUAUGGCUGGUGCCAGAUUUUUUCCAUUAACAGGUAAUUGAGUAGAAACUAAAAUAAGCGAAGUUUGUUUCAUCCCUUGGAUUUUCUUGCUGGGAUUUGAAAGAAAAACACUUUAGCAUCGUUAGUGGAGGAGUGUCCUUGAAAACGUAUUUAUGUUUUCCAAGUGAUUUGUCGCUUGGUAGGUGUAAUUAGCCCGUCCCCGGCCUCUCCCUUCUUGUUUUUAUUCUUUAAGGGCCACAGCCUUCAGAGAAUGGGAGCUGGUUUCCUGGACCCUUCGCUGUCAGUCACCCUGUUUUAAGAGCGGAUGGGUUAGGUAUGCUCGCGGUAGAUAACUAGCUUUUCUCUCUGCUCGCUCUUUCGCUCACGUGCACACGCACCUGGAGAAUCAGCAGGAGCCUGAGGGUCACGCAGCCUCAGGUGCUACCUAUGAGGGCCUGCUCACGCCUCCUGGAUGGUGCCUGCCUCCCUCCACCUUUGCGCCAGGUAGAUGGCUGAGGGGCAGAGGGGCUUUCUCUCACUGUAUCGCUCUGCAGCUAUCUUCCUGUACGCCCAGUCCCAGGUUCUAAUUUCACAGCUGCUGCUUCCAGGAGCAGAUGCUGAGGACUGACGGCGCCUGUCUCAGCUCUGGCUUGUGCUCCAUUUCAUGGAGAUUCCCCAUCACUGCCCAGCCUCAAACUCCCCAUGAAGUCCGGAGCUUCAGAUGGGUUUGUUUGUGAGAAAGAGGGAGAGAAGGAGGGAGAUGGAGCAGGCGUGGGGGCAUGGUCUCCACACUUGGGAGGUUUCAUUUCACCUGGAGCCCACGAGCAUCUUGUUUCCAUCGUGAACCCCACUGAGAUUCUGGUGUCUGCAUAUUCUUCAUAUGCCAGCUCAUCUCGCCAACGGAAACACGAGGCACCAGUAAUACCAUGUCCACACUGAACCAGCAAGACACGUUGAGUAUAAGCCUGGAGUAUCAUGCUGACCACCACGAGAACAGCCAGCAGUGGUGUCUUCAUGAUUUACAAAAUCUCUCCCUCUUGGAUCUCAAAGCAUUUCCAACUAUGAGACCGAAACCCCCGCCUCUACCUCUCCAUUUGGGCAAGAGUUAGUUCUACCAAAAGUAGACGAAUGGCUGCAUAUUUUAGGAAAAGCGUAUGUUUUUUCCUUAAUCUCAACCAUCUGGAGAUUUUUAACAUUCUAUAUUCUUUAUAGAAUUCUACAUAAGAGGUCAGUUUAAUUUUUUAAGAGUUGUUUAAACAUCCCAAGUAACACUGUAAGCCCCCAAACAAGAAAUGGCUCUCGGGCUAGACCACGGAAAAGCACAUGGAUUGUUCGUGUGUUUAGUCUAGUGCGGUGGAUCUCCUCCUUGGCUGCACCUGAAAGAAAGUGACGGCUGAGUCCCACUGACCUGUCUUCCCCAUCCCAGCAUCGUUGUUUGGUUCGGUCUCAUUUUGCCUUUAGGAUCUACAGGUGAGGCUAAUGUGGCAGCAGGGCUCAAGAACCACCAGAUGGGAACUAUCUGUGUUUGAUGAUAAGGGUGGGCUUGGAUGUUACCCUUUCAGUAUUCUCACUGCUCUUCCCUGCUAGAAUUAGAAAGAGGCUGAGAGCAGAGGCUCACACCUGUAGUCCCAGUGCUUUGGAAGGCUGAGGCAGGAGGAUUGCUUGAGGACAGGAGUUCAAGUCCAGCCAGGGCAACAUAGCCAGACACCCCCCCCCCAUCUCUACAAAAAAAUUUUAAAAAUUAGCCUGUAUUCCCAGCUACUUGGGAGCGUGAGGCAGGAGAAUUGCUUGAGCCUGGGAGUUUGGGGCUACAGUGAGCUGUGAUCAUGCUGCUGUACUGCAGCCUGGGCAACAAAGCAAGAUCCCAUCUCUCAAAAAAAAAGAAAAAAGAA